AUGAAAUUACUAGCUUGGAACUGCCGGGGGCUUGGGAAUGCCCCGGCAGUUCGAGCGUUGCUGGACGUUCAGCGACAGUGUCGCCCCGAUGUGAUGUUCUUGUCGGAGACUCACCUCGAUAACUAUCUGGCUGAGUGUUUACGCAAGAGACUGAAGAUGGACCACAAACUGGUGUGUCCUAGUGAUGGUAGGAAAGGGGGGCUAGCUCUGUUUUGGAAUAGUAACAUCAAAGUGUAUAGACUAGCCCUAGAUGCUAUGUUUAUUGAUGUAAGAAUUGAAGAAAUAAAUAAUACUGUUUGGCGCUUGACUGGGAUGUACGGCGAAUUCAAGUGGGAAAAUAAACAUCUAACAUGGAGUCACAUGCGACAACUCCACCAGGCACAUAAGCUCCCUUGGUUGCUCAUAGGAGACCUGAAUGAGAUACAGUUUUUACAUGACAAAGAGGGAGGUAACCCCAGACCUCCACGAUAUAUGCGAGAGUUCCAGGAUGCUAUCGAUGAUUCAAACUUCAUGAUCUAG
rnacentral:rRNA from 1 species